UCUUCAAAGUAUAUUUCUAAAAUAUUUCAAUCUGUAUAUUUUUACUAGAAUAUCCUGAAAGUUACAUGUCAAUGUCAUUAAAAACGUAAUCUGUACUAGAACCAAGUAAUUUUAUUCAAAGGUAGACAAACUGAUGGCAACUGAUGGCACGUGUUGAAAAUCGCAUUAAAAGUAGCACAAUUUCGACAAAAUCUGAUCUUUGAUUUAAUAACAAGAAAGAGAUGACAAAGGCAAGAUAAGACAUUGGAAAUGAGAAAAAGAGAGGAGAGUGAAACAAGAAGAAAAUGAAAGAGAUAGAAACAGCAGCGAGAACGAAAGGAGAUCAGAGAUGAAACGAAAGAUGAGAUGGUCAGAGAGAGAUGAGACGAGACCAGAAAGAUUAAAAACGAGAGAUGUGACACGAGAGAACAGAGAUAGGGGACGAAAGACAGAAUUUAGAAGAAAGA